rnacentral:rRNA from 1 species
GUGCGUAGGCGGUUAUACAAGUUGAUGGUGAAAGGCUACGGCUCAACCGUAGUAAGCCGUCAAAACUGUAUAACUUGAGUGCAGGAGAGGAGAGUGGAAUUCCUAGUGUAGCGGUGAAAUGCGUAGAUAUUAGGAGGAACACCAGUGGCGAAGGCGACUCUCUGGACUGUUACUGACGCUGAGGCACGAAAGCGUGGGGAGCGAACA